UACGUAGGGGGCAAGCGUUGUCCGGAAUCAUUGGGCGUAAAGAGCGUGUAGGCGGCCCGGUAAGUCCGCUGUGAAAGUCCAGGGCUCAACCCUGGGAUGCCGGUGGAUACUGUCGGGCUCGAGUCCGGAAGAGGAGUGUGGAAUUCCUGGUGUAGCGGUGAAAUGCGCAGAUAUCAUGAGGAACACCAAUUGCGAAGGCAGCUCGCUGGGACGUUACUGACGCUGAGACGCGAAAGCGUGGGGAGCAAACAGG
rnacentral:rRNA from 1 species